AUUGAACGCUGGCGGCAGGCCUAACACAUGCAAGUCGAGCGGAUGAGGGGAGCUUGCUCCUGGAUUCAGCGGCGGACGGGUGAGUAAUGCCUAGGAAUCUGCCUGGUAGUGGGGGAUAACGUCCGGAAACGGGCGCUAAUACCGCAUACGUCCUGAGGGAGAAAGUGGGGGAUCUUCGGACCUCACGCUAUCAGAUGAGCCUAGGUCGGAUUAGCUAGUUGGUGGGGUAAAGGCCUACCAAGGCGACGAUCCGUAACUGGUCUGAGAGGAUGAUCAGUCACACUGGAACUGAGACACGGUCCAGACUCCUACGGGAGGCAGCAGUGGGGAAUAUUGGACAAUGGGCGAAAGCCUGAUCCAGCCAUGCCGCGUGUGUGAAGAAGGUCUUCGGGUUGUAAAGCACUUUAAGUUGGGAGGAAGGGCAGUAAGUUAAUACCUUGCUGUUUUGACGUUACCAACAGAAUAAGCACCGGCUAACUUCGUG
rnacentral:rRNA from 1 species